UGGGGAAUUUUCCGCAAUGGGCGCAAGCCUGACGGAGCAAUACCGCGUGAGGGAGGAAGGCUUUUGGGUUGUAAACCUCUUUCCUUAGGGAAGAAGAAAGUGACGGUACCUAAGGAAUCAGCAUCGGCUAACUCCGUGCCAGCAGCCGCGGUAAUACGGAGGAUGCAAGCGUUAUCCGGAAUUAUUGGGCGUAAAGAGUCCGUAGGCGGUGAUUUAAGUCAGUUGUUAAAGACUGCAGCUCAACUGUGGGCGAGCAACUGAAACUGAGUGACUAGAGAGCGGCAGGGGUAGAGGGAAUUCCCAGUGUAGCGGUGAAAUGCGUAGAUAUUGGGAAGAACACCAGUGGCGAAGGCGCUCUACUGGGCCGUAACUGACGCUGGGGGACGAAAGCUAGGGGAGCGAAAGGGAUUAGAUACCCGUGUAGUCC
rnacentral:rRNA from 1 species